rnacentral:rRNA from 1 species
GCAGUCGAACGGUAACAUGUUUGUAGCAAUACAAAUGAUGACGAGUGGCGGACGGGUGAGUAACACGUAAAUAAUCUUCCCUUUGGACGGGGACAACCCAUGGAAACGUGGGCUAAUACCCGAUAAGAACAUCGAGUCUCAUGACUUGAUGCGGAAAUCACUUAGAUGGCCGAUGGAUGAAUUUGCGUCUGAUUAGCUAGUUGGAGAGGUAAUGGCUCACCAAGGCGAUGAUCAGUAGCUGGUCUGAGAGGACGAACAGCCACACUGGAACUGAGACACGGUCCAGACUCCUACGGGAGGCAGCAGUGAGGAAUUUUGCUCAAUGGGCGCAAGCCUGAAGCAGCGACGCCGCGUGAAUGAUGAAGUUCUUCGGAAUGUAAAGUUCUUUUGGCAGGGAAAAUAAUGAUUGUACCUGCAGAAUAAGCACCGGCAAACUAUGUGCCAGCAGCCGCGGUAAUACAUAGGGUGCAAGCGUUGUCCGGAAUUACUGGGCGUAAAGAGCGUGUAGGCGGCUUUUUAAGUCGUAACCUUAAAUACAGGGGCUCAACCCCUGUCAGGGUUCGAUACUGAUAAGCUAGAGAUUGGGAGAGGAAAGCGGAACUCACAGUGUAGCGGUGAAAUGCGUAGAUAUUGUGAGGAACACCCGUGGCGAAGGCGGCUUUCUGGACCAUUUCUGACGCUGAGACGCGAAGCGU